GUCUGCGGCCAUACCACCCUGAACUUGCCAGAUUUUUGUCUGAUCUCAGAAACUAAGCAGGGUCAGGCCUGGUUAGUAUUUGGAUGGGAGAAGGCAAUUAAGCUUGCUCAUUGUAUCUU
rnacentral:rRNA from 1 species